ACGGAAGGCAGCAGUGGGGAAUAUUGCACAAUGGGGGAAACCCUGAUGCAGCGACGCCGCGUGAGUGAUGAAGUAUUUCGGUACGUAAAGCUCUAUCAGCAGGAAAGAUAAUGACGGUACCUGACUAAGAAGCCCCGGCUAACUACGUGCCAGCAGCCGCGGUAAUACGUAGGGGGCAAGCGUUAUCCGGAUUUACUGGGUGUAAAGGGAGUGUAGGUGGCGUGGCAAGUCAGAUGUGAAAGCCCGCGGCUCAACCGCGGAACUGCAUUUGAAACUGUCAUGCUAGAGUGCAGGAGAGGAAAGUGGAAUUCCUAGUGUAGCGGUGAAAUGCGUAGAUAUUAGGAAGAACACCAGUGGCGAAGGCGGCUGUCUGGACUGUUACUGACGCUGAGGCGCGAAAGCGUGGGGAGCAAACAGGAUUAGAUACCCUGGUA
rnacentral:rRNA from 1 species